rnacentral:rRNA from 1 species
AACGAACGCUGGCGGCAUGCCUAACACAUGCAAGUCGAACGAGACCUUCCGGCCUAGUGGCGCACGGGUGCGUACCGCCUGGGAACCUGCCCUUAGGUUAGGAAUAACUCCCCGUAAGGGGUGCUAAUACCGGUUAAUGUCAUCCGACCUAAGAUUUCUUGCCUUUGGAUGGGCCCGGGUUGGAUUCGCCAGUUGGUAGGGUAUAAGCCUGCCAACGCGUGGAUGCAUAGCUGGUCGGGGAGGAGGACUAGCAACGCUGGGGCUGAGACACGGCCCAGACUCGGACGGAAGGGAGCAGUGGGGUAUAUUGUGGGAGGGGCGAAAGCCUGAUACAGCAGUGCGGGGUAAGUGAGGAAGGCCUUAGGAAUGUAAUGCUCUUUGACCCGAGAUGAUAAUGACGGUACCGGGAGAAUAAGCACCGGCUAACUACGUG